rnacentral:lncRNA from 1 species
GGCUCGCCGCCAUCUUGGAUCGGGGUUUCAUUGUUCGCGGUGGGACGGGCAUUUUUGUGUAAUCGCUGCCAAAGAAGAAAGCGAAGUAGCCUCCAGUCAAGCGAGGAGGCCGGCUCUUCCGCAGCCAUAGCCACCUCAACGAUUUGGGAGGUAGCGAAGGGCAGGGAGCUGGACCCUGAGGUGCCGCCGCGACUGCAGCAGCCAUGGAGGACGAGAUGCCCAAGACUCUAUACGUCGGUAACCUUUCUCGAGAUGUGACAGAAGCUCUCAUCCUCCAGCUCUUUAGCCAGAUCGGACCUUGUAAAAACUGCAAAAUGAUUAUGGAUGUAAGGGUAUUUCACUCAGUCACUGUUCUUCCUUCCUUAACAUACUAAUAAAGGUGUUGUAACUGCAG